UAUUAAAAUUUCAUCUAUUUAUAUUGUUAAAGACUGACGUGAUUGACCGCAUAACCAAACAGUAAUAUGUGUCAUGCCACUUGUAUAUCAUGCUAAUGUACAUGAACUAUUUUUUAACCGUAUAAAUAGAUGAAAUUUUUAAUA
rfam:Gossypium hirsutum cultivar TM-1 chromosome 21, whole genome shotgun sequence